UCGGGGUAAAAUAGUGAGUAACUGACAUGGGAAAGUGAUCAAUCCUUUGGAUAAGUUUUAAACUGCUUUUUUUUUACUCGAUAAACUUUUUACCAUGGGUAAAAAGAUUUGUCUUGGGGUAUAAAAAAACAUAUUUAAAUUUAGCCCAAGGUUGAUGAUGUAUUUUCCCCAUGAAGGCUGCUCACUAUUUUACCCCAA
rnacentral:pre_miRNA from 1 species